rnacentral:rRNA from 1 species
GACGAACCGAGCGAACGUUGUUCGGAUUCAUUGGGCGUAAAGGGUGCGUAGGCGGUCGCGUAAGUCAGGUGUGAAAUCCCGGGGCUCAACCCCGGAACUGCACUUGAUACUGCGUGGCUAGGGUACUGGAGAGGAGACUGGAAUUUACGGUGUAGCAGUGAAAUGCGUAGAUAUCGUAAGGAAGACCAGUGGCGAAGGCGAGUCUCUGGACAGUUACCGACGCUGAGGCACGAAGGCCAGGGGAGCAAACGGG